rnacentral:tRNA from 1 species
GGGCCCAUAGCUCAGUUGGUCAGAGCCACCGACUCAUAAUCGGUUGGUCCCAGGUUCGAGUCCUGGUGGGCCCA